CCGCCGCUUGGGGCGCUCAAUUGUUUACUUCCGGUUUAUGUACAUGUGAAAGUUACAUAAAUCUGACAAAAUUGCUUCGCUGUUUACAUCAAAACUUGAUACUCUGAGUCGUGCAAAAUGCCAGAGGGUCCAGAAUUACACAUGGCAAGCCGGUUUGUUAACCACGUGUGCUCUGAUCGAAUGUUCUCUGGCGCAAUUUUCAAGUCUGAAGUGAGCCACAAAAAUCCUGAAAUUCCAUGGAAUGAAAAAAGUUACACAAUUUCUGCCACUUCAAGAGGAAAAGAAGUCAAGUUAACACUACAUACCAUGGACAACAAAACAACAAAGACCUCAAAACCACCAAAAAUCCCCAAAUCUAUGGAUAUUAUAUUUAGAUUUGGAAUGUCAGGAAAGUUCCAAUUUACUUCUGACUCUCCAAAGGACAUUCACAAACAUGCUCAUCUUCAAUUCUUCACAGAUGGUUCUCCAAAGAAGGUGCUCAGUUUUGUUGAUGUUAGGAGAUUUGGUAAAUGGGAAGUGAAUGGUGACUGGGGCAAACAAAGAGGCCCAUGUGUAUUGUUUGAAUAUGAUGCGUUCAGGAAGAAUGUACUUGACAAUCUGAGUACAGCUGCAUUUGACCGUCCUAUAUGUGAGGCAAUGUUAAACCAGAAGUUCUUCAAUGGCAUUGGUAACUACUUGAGAGCAGAGAUACUUUACAGACUACAUAUUCCUCCAUUUGUUUGUGCUAGAGAUGUCUUGGAACCUCUGAAGCUACAGGGGGAUACAAAAGUCAAAUCUGAAACCCCUGAUCUGUUGGCCAUGUGUAAUAUUGUUCCACUUGAAGUUGUUAACCUUGGGGGCAAGGGUUAUGACCCAGAAGGUGGAGCAGAGCAGUACUCUGAAUUUUCCCAAUGGCUACAAUGCUACUACCAGCCAGGAAUGUCAAACAUUGCUGACCAUAACAAACGUACAAUGUGGUUCAGUGGCCCACCAGGUCCUAUGAUACCUAAAGAUGCUAAAACAAGAGCUACAAAGAAAAGACAGAAAAAGAACAAAGUCUCCGAAGAAGAAGAAGAAGAAUCUCCAAUUAAGUCUAAGAGCCAAAACAAGAGAGUAAAGAAGGAAGAAGUUGACACAAACUCAAAGGUCACAAGAAAAACAAAGGCUGCCUCUAAACGCAGAUCCACUUCAUCAGGUCCAACUCCAGCUAAAAAUAAAAAGACACAAAAAGAAGAAAAUGGACCAGGAAAUGUACGAAGAAGUCGGAGACUGAAAACAAAAUGAUAGCUCAUCAAGGAAUACCAAAUCUACCUCGAUCUGGACAAUAUACUAAUGUAUACAUGUAGUAUAUGCUUAUCCUGGACUUGGAUAAUGUCAAAUUAGAUAGGCAAGAUGUAGUUCAGUAGUUAUCGGUCUUUUUUAGUGACAUGAGGCGAAGGGCAGCUGUCAACAAUUCAGAAUCUGACAAUGUAUACUCCAAGUUAUGGGUGUAGCAUUAGGCAUGCGACCCAUUUUUCAAGCUAUAAUAGCCUAAUUGUGAAAUUAAGUUUAAAAGUUGUAAUACACCUCCUUUAGCAUGUUUAGGCUCAUGCAAUUUGCCUCAACUUCUUUUAGAUCCUGUAGACCUAAGGAUAGUCAUUUUCUUCAACUUAUAAAAGACAGUAAACUUACUCAACUGAAAUGGUGUGGAAAGAAUUCUAAGAAAGGUUCAGGGAAAUUUAAAAAAUCAUCAGAUUCAUGCAGUCAGUGAGACAUGCAUCUUUUAGUAUGUUUACUAGUUAGGCUAGAAUGUAGAAUAUCAAAGUAUAACUUGUCGUAGUUGUAUGUCAAGUUUUACAAAUGCAUUGAUAUUUGCUGAUUGUAAGGUUUAUACUGUAAUACUUUUCUAAAAGCAAACUCUGAACAAAAUAUGUCCCAACUCUGUUCCUAAAAUGUGUGAACUGUGUUCACCAAAACUUCAAUAAAAUUCAGAAAAGGUGUAACAAUUCAAAUUUAUUUUGUAAAAUUGAAAUAUGUUAAUGGAAAUUAUUGUUUACCAACUACAAGUGAAUAAAUGACCUUUUAAAUAUUGAUAAUGUUAAUUGAUAAUGAUAAGUUUUGCUAUUGACAUAUAGUUAAUUUUUAACAUCUCUUUAUUAUUUUUCUGGUCGAGAGAUAAAAAUUGUGCCAAAUCUAUCACAAAAUACAGUAAACGCCACAAUAUCUAUUACAAAUAACAGAUGUAACAGAUGAGAGAAAAAAUGUUGUAGCAACAUAUGAACGAAUGAGCUUCUACCAUCAAUAUUUUGAAAAUGUUUUAUUCCAUCAUGAUCGAAGUACCAAAAUAUUACCAGUAAUGAUACUUCAGUAGACUGUAAUUGUGUCAUUAUUGAAAAACUGCACAAUUAUAAAAUAGAUGGGAGUAAACAUUAACCAACUUUUUUUGCUCUUGUUAUAUUAAUGACAAGUGACCCAUGGUAAGGAAAAGUCAGCCAUUUUUGAAUUUAAGUAUAGAAUACUAACCAAGCAUAUACAAUCUUCAAACCCUGCUCAUAGCUUUUGGUGGUGACAUAAAAAAGUU
rnacentral:misc_RNA from 1 species